UCGUGUUGUGUGGUCCAACUGAUAUUGGGAUCUGUUUCAUUUUUGGUUUCAAUUCCUAAAAUGAUAUGGGAAAGUGGAUUGACGGCAUGGAUAAGACAUAUACAUCAUGGUGGGACCCACAGUUUUUUCAGCGCAAAGGAGGCUUCACAACGGAAUCCGAAUCCCUCUCUCCCUCUCUCAUGUUCCCAAAACACAAAACAUUUGUUUUGCAAUCCCGUUGUCAUUUUCUUCUUCAGUGUAGUUCUUCUCGCCCACCCUCGCUCUUCGAUUCUGUUUCCUUUGAAGAAUCAAACGACUUCUCCCUUCUUCAUUGAUUUCUUUGAGAACCAAAGAAGGACAUUUCAAAGUGAAACAACUAUUGAUGGAGGCAGAGCCUGGUCCCGAACAGAUAAUUGAAGCAACUGAAAGCAGUAUGGAAGUUUGAGGUGGGGCCAACUUUUGAUCUCAUCCAGGUGUGCGCAUGCCUUCUAAUUGCACCUCAUUAGUUAUUGAAGCAGAAAUAGGAAAUUGCAACGAAAAGAAGGGAAACAAUAUAUACUCUUAACGUGUGCAUGGAAUGACAUGUUUAUUUCUUAUUGCAUAAGUGUUGUUUUUCACACAGGUCUUAUAUGAUGCCUGGACUGGAAUUGCAUCUUUGUUCGAUUCAUGUCUCUGUCUAAGGAUUCAGAUACUGCAUUGCAUAGCUAUCACCAUAUGAGAGGUAAGACAUUUGUUCCUCUAUGUAAGGCAGGUCUACAUGCAAGGUUUAUAUUUACUAAAGAUGAUACCACAUGAACACUUCCGUUGGCUGAACUAGUUGUUUAAAGAUGUAUUUUUCAUGAGUCGAAGGUGCUAUAAUCAGAAAGACAUUUUUAUUUAGUCCUUCUAUGUGCUAAUUAUCUUGGGAUGUUACUUAAUUAUUGCAACAUAUUUUCACAAACCUAGACCUAAGUUUACUUCUUUCUGUUAUACUCACCAGUGCUACCAGUCCAUUGACAUCUUUAGAUGUCAUUAUGCAACAGUGCAUGUUACGAGUCCAUGGCCAUAUUAAUUAUAGCCAAAAAAAAAAAAUCUAGUAGCAAAUGAUCCUAACCACCCGAUCACUUGCCAUUGAUAAAAUUCCUCUAUGGAUUGGAUUUCACAAAUAAGAUCAUCACACAAACGUCAUUUUCUUGUUAUGUGGGCUAUCCAAGUUUUAGAGUAUCAGUCAAAUGGUCCGGAUCGAAUGUUGGACCAUCCAAUGGAUACACCACCUCUUAAAUGUGCCCAUAUCCUAACUAUUCCCCACUUGGAUUAACCUAACUAUCCGAACAUUCAACAAGGGUCCAUAAAAAAAAUCCAUUGAUCGAACACUUGGGGGUUUUGACUGGUGUGAAUUUUGGACCAAAUACUAUGAAGAGCCCAAGGAUAUAUUGGACAGUUUGGAUGGAAGAACACAUCUUUUAUGAAAUCAAAAGUCCAAUGCCACACUUACUGAACAUAGCUUAAGAGGGUGGGUUUUUUUAUAAUGUCCAACACAUGGGUGAACUGAAGUGGGGUUUGCUAGAAAGAAUCAGGUGAUGUGCUUGCUCAUCUAGCCCGUUCAAUAGAUGGGACUCUGCCAUUGUCUACACCCAAAACUCUCAUUGUGCAGUUGAGCUAACCACCUGAUUGUUUAUGUUCUUUUUGACAUUAUUAACAGUAGAUUCCCUUAUUGUAGCUAAUUUGUUGAACGAUAUAGAUUGAAGAGCACACUAUCCUAACCGUUCAAUCAAUGCCCAACUUAUGGAGGCUAAAAAAUGAUCUACAAAAGUAUUUAGGACUGUUGUCUUGGUGUGAAUUCUUACCGAGAGAUGAACUGUGUUCGACAGUCCAGAUGGAUGUUGGCAUCAUCUUGGUGAACUGGGACUGUUGUCUUGGUGUGAAUUCUUACCGAGAGUGAAUGCUAGAAAAGUUCACUGGAUUUUCAAAUUUUGAUGGGAUAAUUUCUAAUUACCUUUGAAAAAUAAUUCAUUUUAGAAAUUACUAAGAAAAUAAGUAAUAUCAGUAAAGCCAUUACGUACCAUGCCUAUGGCUUCUGUUGGAUAAAUGAAAUGAUCUUGCACCUGCUUUUUGUCUGUUCUAACUGUUUGAUUCACAUGACAUAGUGGCAAAGAUACAUCCAUUCCACAUAAUAGGUAUCCAUGCUAGAUAUUAUGUCGAUCUAGAUUCUAAACCAUUCAUUUAAUCAUGCCAAUUCUAUGAUCCUAAACAUUUUAUCAGUAGCAUGAAAAUGGACAGUCAAUAUUGAGUGGAUAAACGAAAUAGGUCUAACCAUCAUCUUAAAACAUUUAUUCGAUAGAUCUCACUGUAUAUUGCCGUUCCAGAGUUACACUUUAGUUUGAUGAUUCAAACCAUGUGAUAUAUGGCUCUAUUUUCGGCAUUGACUUGACCCCCUUAUAUAAUAUGAUAAGGCCCAUGAGAGUCCGUCAGUUUGCUUGCAGGAAAAGGCUCAACCACCACUCAUCCAAUUGGAGUUGACCGAGGCCGUUUCGUUGAGAGAGGUAGACGAUUUCACCUUAUAGAAAUCAUGCUGAUUCUUCCUUUUCGCAGGAAGGGAGCGCAGACAGAUCUAACAAAUUGACCCGUUCGGAGGUUUACGAUCUUUCAAUCUGUGAGAUUUUUGCACCGGGGCUUGCUUUCAAUAGUACUAUUGAAUGAAUAGUCCUGAUUGAUGAUUGGGGCCCCACAUGUUGCUAAGGUCCCACAAACCCAAUGUUAAAAAGGUAAAUACCUAUUUUCCAUGCGGACGCUUCACAUUUGAUUAACAAUGUGAAAAGUCUUAUUAUUUGUAAUAUUCAUGGAUCUUGAUAUUUAAUAUGUCAGCUAAACAUGUUCGUAUUGACAUUUCACAUUAAAUAAACUGCAAAAAUGGACAAAGCAA